rnacentral:rRNA from 1 species
ACGCUCGACACCUACGGAAGGCAGCAGUGGGGAAUAUUGGGCAAUGGGCGCAAGCCUGACCCAGCAACGCCGCGUGAAGGAAGAAGGCUUUCGGGUUGUAAACUUCUUUUCUCAGGGACGAAGGAAGUGACGGUACCUGAGGAACAAGCCACGGCUAACUACGUGCCUGCAGCCGCGGUAAUCUGAGCGGGCUGGCAAGGC